rnacentral:rRNA from 1 species
GAUGAACGCUAGCGGCAGGCUUAACACAUGCAAGUCGAGGGGCAGCACGUCUUCGGAUGGUGGCGACCGGCGCACGGGUGCGUAACGCGUAUAGAACCUACCUUUUACAGGGGAAUAGCCCAGAGAAAUUUGGAUUAAUGCCCCAUAGUAUUAUUAGAUGGCAUCAUUUGAUAAUUAAACAUUUAUGGGUAAAAGAUGGCUAUGCGUUCUAUUAGCUAGAUGGUAAGGUAACGGCUUACCAUGGCGACGAUAGAUAGGGGUCCUGAGAGGGAGAUCCCCCACACUGGUACUGAGACACGGACCAGACUCCUACGGGAGGCAGCAGUGAGGAAUAUUGGACAAUGGGCGAGAGCCUGAUCCAGCCAUGCCGCGUGCAGGAAGACGGUCCUAUGGAUUGUAAACUGCUUUUUAUACAGGAAGAACACUCCCUCGUGAGGGAAUUUGACGGUACUGUAUGAAUAAGCACCGGCUAACUCCGUGCCAGCAGCCG